AGAUUAAGUUAUUAAGGGCGCACGGUGGAUGCCUUGGCACUAGAAGCCGAUGAAGGACGUUACUAACGACGAUAUGCUUUGGGUAGCUGUAAGUAAGCGUUGAUCCAGAGAUUUCCGAAUGGGGGAACCCAGCAUGAGUUAUGUCAUGUUAUCGACAUGUGAAUUCAUAGCAUGUCAGAAGGCAGACCCGGAGAACUGAAACAUCUUAGUACCCGGAGGAAGAGAAAGAAAAAUCGAUUCCCUGAGUAGCGGCGAGCGAAACGGGAAUAGCCCAAACCAACAAGCUUGCUUGUUGGGGUUGUAGGACACUCUAUACGGAGUUACAAAAGAACAUGUUAGACGAAUCAUCUGGAAAGAUGAAUCAAAGAAGGUAAUAAUCCUGUAGUCGAAAACAUAUUCUCUCUUGAGUGGAUCCUGAGUACGACGGAGCACGUGAAAUUCCGUCGGAAUCUGGGAGGACCAUCUCCUAAGGCUAAAUACUCUCUAGUGACCGAUAGUGAACCAGUACCGUGAGGGAAAGGUGAAAAGUACCCCGGAAGGGGAGUGAAAGAGAACUUGAAACCGUGUGCUUACAAGUAGUCAGAGCCCGUUAAUGGGUGAUGGCGUGCCUUUUGUAGAAUGAACCGGCGAGUUACGAUCUGAUGCAAGGUUAAGCAGCAAAUGUGGAGCCGCAGCGAAAGCGAGUCUGAAUAGGGCGUUGAGUAUUUGGUCGUAGACCCGAAACCAGGUGAUCUACCCUUGGUCAGGUUGAAGUUCAGGUAACACUGAAUGGAGGACCGAACCGACUUACGUUGAAAAGUGAGCGGAUGAACUGAGGGUAGCGGAGAAAUUCCAAUCGAACUUGGAGAUAGCUGGUUCUCUCCGAAAUAGCUUUAGGGCUAGCCUCAAGUGAUGAUUAUUGGAGGUAGAGCACUGUUUGGACGAGGGGCCCCUCUCGGGUUACCGAAUUCAGACAAACUCCGAAUGCCAAUUAAUUUAACUUGGGAGUCAGAACAUGGGUGAUAAGGUCCGUGUUCGCAAGGGACACAGCCCCGACCACCAGCUAAG
rnacentral:rRNA from 1 species